GGCGACAUAGCUCAGUUGGGAGAGCGCACGACUGAAGUUCAAAGAGUAUAACUCUUGAUUCCUCAUUCGUGCGGUCCCUGGUUCGAUCCCGGGUGGCGCCA
rfam:Cryptococcus pinus CBS 10737 unplaced genomic scaffold supercont1.10, whole genome shotgun sequence.